CCCUCAUAAUGUUGGAGGGACUUGUUGCCUGGGUACUCAACACAUACCUAGGAAAAUAUGUCAGCAACCUAAAUACAGACCAGCUCUCGAUCGCUCUCCUCAAAGGUACCCUGUCUGUCUGUUUGGCUGACUCAGGGUGUCCACUGUCUGUUUCUACAAUGACAUCAUCGUCGCUCUUACCCUCAUUGAAUUUGACAACUCUUCAACUUGCCAAACAUGAUAUGCUACCAGAAUCCCUGCAGUAUACAAUAAUGUAUCAUACAUUUGCUGUAGCACUGCAGCUGAAGUCUAGGCCCACCCUUGACCCUUGUCAGCCCAGGAGCGGUGGAGCUGGAGAACCUCCCCUUAAAGAAAGAUGGCCUCCGAGAGUUUGAUCUGCCCUUUGAGGUCAAAGCAGGCUUCAUUGGGAAGAUCACGCUCCAGAUCCCGUUCUACCGACCCCACAGUGACCCCUGGGUCUUCUCCAUGUCCCAGCUCAACCUCAUCAUCGGCCCGGCCUGACCCUAGGAGUAUGACCAGGAGACGGAGAGGGAGGCUGUGCAUGAUCGCAAGAAACAGCUGCUCAAGGCACUCGAGGACAAGUGGAAGGAUUGCGUAAGGAAGAGCCAGUCACAUACUGGACCAGCAACGAUCAGUGAGGAGGAGGAGAAGAAGGAGGAGUCAGCUGAGAAGCCCAAAACUUCUUCCACCACCACCUCCUCUGGUUUCUCCUUGGGCAGGCCCCAGGCCCAGCCCACUGUUGGAAGAAUCCCUGGCGAGGACGACCCACCCCUCAGCCUGGGUGAGCCCAGUGACCACUACACGUUGUUUAAAAUUUUGUGUGAAGAAGAUAUCACGCUAAUACUGAGUGUAACCCUCUCACCAGGCUUGAAUUUGACUCUCACGAUAUUACCUUACUUAGAA